rnacentral:rRNA from 1 species
GAUGAACGCUGGCGGCGUGCCUAAUACAUGCAAGUCGAGCGAACGGACGAGAAGCUUGCUUCUCUGAUGUUAGCGGCGGACGGGUGAGUAACACGUGGAUAACCUACCUAUAAGACUGGGAUAACUUCGGGAAACCGGGGCUAAUACCGGAUGAUAUUUUGAACCGCAUGGUUCAAAAGUGAAAGACGGUCUUGCUGUCACUUAUAGAUGGAUCCGCGCUGCAUUAGCUAGUUGGUAAGGUAACGGCUUACCAAGGCAACGAUGCAUAGCCGACCUGAGAGGGGGAUCGGCCACACUGGAACUGAGACACGGUCCAGACUCCUACGGGAGGCAGCAGUAGGGAAUCUUCCGCAAUGGGCGAAAGCCUGACGGAGCAACGCCGCGUGAGUGAUGAAGGUCUUCGGAUCGUAAAACUCUGUUAUUAGGGAAGAACAUAUGUGUAAGUAACUGUGCACAUCUUGACGGUACCCAAUCAGAAAGCCACGGCUAACUACGUG